rnacentral:rRNA from 1 species
UACGUAGGUGACAAGCGUUGUCCGGAUUUACUGGGCGUAAAGAGCGCGCAGGCGGUCGAUCAAGUCGAAUGUGAAAGCCCCUGGCUCAACUAGGGAGAGUCAUUCGAUACUGUUCGACUCGAAGGCAGGAGAGGGAAGUGGAAUUCCGGGUGUAGUGGUGAAAUGCGUAGAUAUCCGGAGGAACACCAGUGGCGAAGGCGACUUUCUGGCCUGUUCUUGACGCUGAGGCGCGAAAGCUAGGGGAGCAAACGGG